CCACUGCGCUUGCCGCAGAUUUUUACGGGAUGGGGAGUUAUAGGCAUAUGCAAGCAACAGCACAAAACGUUAUUCCUGGUCCAGGGAUCAAUCGAUAUGUAAUGCGGAUAGAGGAUCAGUUAAACAUAAGUACUACUACAACGGAUGUAGCCGAGACAAUAUUAGCUCUUCUUCCCCUCUUUCACCAAAGAGCAACUUUACUAGGCGUCAACCGGGUGCACUUGUGAUGGUGGUGAAUGGAAACAUGGACCCUCAGUAGCGACCCUAAAUAAAUUUGUAUCCAUCUCGACGGUCCUUUGUUACCGCCACAGUUGUGUUAUUUCGCAUUUCGGAAUCUCGUGAAAUCCGUUUGUCAUGGCCUUGGUUUGCGAGAAGGAACCCUUUAGCUCAAGAAUGGGCAACUAGUCAAAGCAUGUGGACCGGCUUGGUACUCGAACUACGCACAGUUCCCUUACGACAUUAGGAACAACGCUUCCUCAACGCCUGGGUGUGACGUUUCAGUGCAACUCAGCGUUGUGUUUUUGAUCCUUCUGUAAAAAACUGAAAAGUGUGCUAAACGCACGGAUACGUCCCCUACGUGAGACAAUCACGGCACUCUUGUGGCGACAAUUUAUUUUGAGUUGCGUAUAUCUUUUCCUCCGCUUCUUAACCCUCGUUGCAUUUCAAAGUCCUCUGUUCGCAUCGGCGGGGACAGAAAGGAAAACAUUUCUUUGUCGUGGAGUCUACACAUUCUCCUUCACUCUCAUAUAUCACGUCUUUGUGUGUUCUGCGACAUUACUUUUUCUCCCUCUGUCUCCGCAUCAUUUGAACGCCUGCUAGUUGGGCAGAAGAUCCGUUGUUGAGGAAACCAUGAACCUCUGUCCAGGGCAGACAACUGUGGUCAGCUAAACCGAGUGUUAGAGAAGAUGAAGGCGGUAAUUUGGAAGGUAUUCUUUGCUCACAGAAACAGCGUAAAAGAGGUAGAACACAAAAUACCGGCGGCUAGACCAAUGCAGGAUAAGCGCGUGCAAUGCAAACUAAUUCCGUUUCUUCCAUGUUCCUAAAGUUUGUUCCUCUAAUAUCAUGCUGUUUGUCGUCUGCUUGUAUCCUGUGAGGCAUCUCCGUAAUUGAGCGGCAGUAAGACUCUCUCUCUCAGGUAAAAAACUGCGCGAGAUACGCUCUUGGAGGAAGGCAAGCUAUUGAACACAACUAUUCCAUCGGCAUGCGCGAAUUUCGCCUGUUUAGUUUGUUCAUGGCUAAGGCAUUCGGUCUUUCCGAGUUGCUUGAGUGUAUGAAAGCGAGUACGGUUUGAUGGCAGUAAUGAGACAGCGCAACUUCUGGCCUAUCACCAUACGUUACGUGCAGUGAUGCUUGUCCGAUCGUAGUCCCAUAACUCUGAGCAUGCGUGAUGAUAGACUUUUCCUAUCGACGAACGGCGCUGCCGCCGUAGGGGAAUUUGCUUCCCUUCAGUGUUGUGUAUUCGAGACCAUUCUGUUUAUCGCGCCUGUAAAGAAACCCUACAAAGCGCACACUGAAAGGCUCCGUAUACUGCGCCCUG
rnacentral:lncRNA from 1 species